GACGAACGCUGGCGGCAUGCCUAAUACAUGCAAGUCGAGCGAACAGAUGAAGUGCUUGCACUUCUGACGUUAGCGGCGAACGGGUGAGUAACACGUAAGGAAUCUACCUAUAAGCGGAGGAUAACAUUCGGAAACGGGUGCUAAUACCGCAUAAUAUCUUCUUCCGCAUGGAAGAAGAUUGAAAGACGGCUCUGCUGUCACUUAUAGAUGACCUUGCGGUGCAUUAGUUAGUUGGUGGGGUAACGGCCUACCAAGACGAUGAUGCAUAGCCGACCUGAGAGGGUGAUCGGCCACAUUGGGACUGAGACACGGCCCAAACUCCUACGGGAGGCAGCAGUAGGGAAUCUUCCGCAAUGGGCGAAAGCCUGACGGAGCAAUGCCGCGUGAGUGAAGAAGGCCUUCGGGUCGUAAAACUCUGUUAUAAGAGAAGAACAAAUUGUAGAGUAACUGCUACAGUCUUGACGGUAUCUAAUCAGAAAGCCACGGCUAACUACGUGCCAGCAGCCGCCGUAA
rnacentral:rRNA from 1 species